rnacentral:rRNA from 1 species
UCCUCCAAGGCUAAAUACUCCUGACUGACCGAUAGUGAACCAGUACCGUGAGGGAAAGGCGAAAAGAACCCCGGCGAGGGGAGUGAAAAAGAACCUGAAACCGUGUACGUACAAGCAGUGGGAGCACCUUCGGGUGUGACUGCGUACCUUUUGUAUAAUGGGUCAGCGACUUAUAUUCUGUAGCAAGGUUAACCGUAUAGGGGAGCCGCAGGGAAACCGAGUCUUAACUGGGCGUUAAGUUGCAGGGUAUAGACCCGAAACCCGGUGAUCUAGCCAUGGGCAGGUUGAAGGUUGGGUAACACUAACUGGAGGACCGAACCGACUAAUGUUGAAAAAUUAGCGGAUGACUUGUGGCUGGGGGUGAAAGGCCAAUCAAACCGGGAGAUAGCUGGUUCUCCCCGAAAGCU